CCCUCCCUCCCUCCCUCCCUUCCUUCCUUUUUUUCUGGUGCAGAACCAGGAAAAGAGCAACAGAGUGAAAGUUACAUUUGUGUGCCUCUGCAAAGAAAAGUCAGCUGUGGUAGAGAGGAAAGGCAGAAGCCAGCAAGAGAAAAGAUGUCAAGAUGAGUUUACAUCUGGGAGAAACACAGGCAUUCGCAGCUCACCUGGAAUCGUGCAGAACCCUCCCUAGGAGCAUGCACCAGUCUUUAUGCUCAUAUCCUCCAUUCAGUUAGCACAAGCUGAAGACAUUCUCCCUGGACAUUCUGUGCUUCCUCCUCUAGGCAUUGGGGGUACCAAGGGGAGCCCAAUUCUCCAUGACACAAAGAAAGGCAGAAACAACAAUGAUGAGAUCAAAGCUGCCAGCCCCAAACCCCUAUUGAGGUAUUUGCUGUCCUCAUCCAUGUUAAAUCACAUAUAAGCCUUCCCAAUUGAUGUAGGUAUAUUUUUUCAAUUAAAAACCAAACGAGAAAGAUGGACAUCUCAUAGAAGUUCCUCCAAAGUUCAAAGCACAGAACGAAAGCACUGAAACACAUAAAAGGCAGCAGAAAAGCAAUGAAAUGAAAACCAUACCAAAUAAAAUGGGAAGCUCCCACGAUGGUUCUCUCCGAGAAUAAAUGCUGAUGAACACGCUCCCACCCUGUAGGAAAGAUCAGUGGGUCCCCAAAUCAAGAGGAGAAGGAGCACAUCAGCAUCUGGGCUAAAAGAAGCACCUAGACCAGGUGGGCAAAGUGAAGCAGAGGGCGGGGUAGAGGCUCAGAAGGA